AUUGAACGCUGGCGGCAGGCCUAACACAUGCAAGUCGAGCGAGCGGCGGACGGGUGAGUAAUGUCUGGGAAACUGCCUGAUGGAGGGGGAUAACUACUGGAAACGGUAGCUAAUACCGCAUACCAUCAGAUGUGCCCAGAUGGGAUUAGCUAGUAGGUGGGGUAACGGCUCACAUAGGCGACGAUCCCUAGCUGGUCUGAGAGGAUGACCAGCCACACUGGAAAUGAGACACGGUCCAGAAUCCGAAGGGAGGCAGCAUUGGGGAAUAUUGCGCAAUGGGCGCAAGCCUGAGGGAGCAAUGCCGCGUGUGUGAAGAAGGUCUUCGGGUUGUAAAGCACUUUCAGCGGGGAGGCGUUACCCGCAGAAGAAGCACCGGCUAACUCCGUGCCAGCAGCCGCGGUAAUAC
rnacentral:rRNA from 1 species